rnacentral:rRNA from 1 species
UACGUAGGGUGCAAGCGUUGUCCGGAAUUAUUGGGCGUAAAGAGCUCGUAGGCGGUCUGUCGCGUCUGGUGUGAAAAUCCAGGGCUUAACCCUGAGCCUGCUUCCGAUACGGGCAGACUAGAGGUAUGCAGGGGAGAACGGAAUUCCUGGUGUAGCGGUGAAAUGCGCAGAUAUCAGGAGGAACACCAGUGGCGAAGGCGGCUUUCUGGCCUGCUCUUGACGCUGAGGCGCGAAAGCUAGGGUAGCAAACGGG